UAGGCAACAAGUCAUAGCUAUAGAAAAGAAACAACUAGCAUGUCAAUGAUUGUAAUGGUAUCUGGGGAAAUGGUCAUUUUGCCUGUGAUCCUGCUUGUAAGAAGAACGAAUCCAUGAAACAAAUGAACCGACGUACUCGAAUGAAUCCUCACAUUCCGAAGCGGUUCGGAACUCUAUCGAGAAGAAACAAACCAGAACAACAACCAACACACGAUAACACCACAACAAAUGCACGACAUAAUGCACAACCUAAUAUGAUGCAUGUCCAUUUCAAUUAUGGACGACAUGGCAUGGCAAUUCACAACAAUCAAACACUACACAUUAAGUGAACACGAAACUCCACAUACGAAUUAUUUAGUUCACUCCCGUUUAGGUACAUGGAAAUUUCAAAAUGUUGUUAACAUGGCAAAAGAUGAAUCACAAAUAAACUACCUAUCUAGGCAUUUUAAAUGAGGCCAGAAACAUCAUAUAGCAU
rnacentral:lncRNA from 1 species